GUUUCUGUAGUGUAGUGGUCAUCACGUUAAGCCUAACACGCGAAGGUCCUCGGUUCGAAACCGAGCAGAAACA